rnacentral:rRNA from 1 species
UACGUAGGGUGCAAGCGUUGUCCGGAAUUAUUGGGCGUAAAGAGCUCGUAGGCGGUUCGUCGCGUCGGCUGUGAAAUCCCGAGGCUCAACCUCGGGUCUGCAGUCGAUACGGGCGGACUGGAGUUCGGCAGGGAGACUGGAAUUCCUGGUGUAGCGGUGAAAUGCGCAGAUAUCAGGAGGAACACCGGUGGCGAAGGCGGAUCUCUGGGCCUGUCCUGACGCUCGAGGCGCGAAAGCUAGGGGAGCAAACAGG